GUGGUUGUAGCUCAAUGGAUAGAGCGCCCUGUUGACGACACGGGAGGUUGUUGGUUCGAAUCCUACCAGCCACAC
rnacentral:tRNA from 1 species